rnacentral:rRNA from 1 species
UACGGGGGGAGCAAGCGUUGUUCGGAUUUACUGGGCGUAAAGGGCGCGUAGGCGGCGCAACAAGUCACUUGUGAAAUCUCCGGGCUUAACCCGGAGCGGCCAAGUGAUACUGUCGUGCUAGAGUGCGGAAGGGGCUACUGGAAUUCUCGGUGUAGCGGUGAAAUGCGUAGAUAUCGAGAGGAACACCUGCGGCGAAGGCGGGUUGCUGGGCCGACACUGACGCUGAUGAGCGAAAGCCAGGGGAGCGAACGGG